rnacentral:siRNA from 1 species
UGCUUCACUCGAUCGCGACCUGAG